rnacentral:lncRNA from 1 species
GCGCUGCUCAGGAACUACCCGGGGCUGCAGAUUCCCAUCGUCUGGAGGCAGGAAAAGCUGCCUGCAGUGUGUUCGUGUGCCUGUACAGCAAAACCCCAAACUACUUGUUGGAGAUGGGUUUUGGCUAGAAGAUGUGAAUCCAGAUCAAAAUCAAAAGCCACAUAAGUACUAAAAUAGCCAAAACAGAGACGCAGUCAUUACAGGAAACUCACGAGGCUUCAAAGGAGGUUUAAAGAAGGAAGAGCUGCAGCCAGAAGAGCUGGUGGCGUUGCCCGUCUGUACUGGAAAUGUCGACAUCCUCUGGAGAGGAAGAGGAAGGAGUUAGCGGUGCCAGACAAGCAGCUGGACAAUGACAAGACAGGAAACCGGGCUGCUGAUGACAGUGAACUACAAACCGGGAGGAGGGAAGCAUCAAAGCUACGGGGCCGCUGAAGACUGUGGGCAGGGACAAAGUGAAAGCCGUGAGGGGCUCAGAACCAGCCACAGGCCACAUACGCAUGGUCUAGCGGGUAGCCAAGUCUCCAUUUAUUUCUGUUGAAAUACCAUGAAAGGUCCUUUGUCCUGUUGCAAUCAUCCCAGGAAUAUUCUAUUGUAUUUUGCACAGGUUCAAACAUUGCCUUGAAGGGCAGCCAUUCAAAUGUGAGAGAACACUGUUGUAGAUGUCUCAAUAUAGUUCUGGUUAACGUUUAUAGGUAACACUUAGUAUAUUUGUUCCCAGUACUUUAUGGAAAAAUAUAAUUUAAUCCCAAGGUUAAAGGGCCAAAACAGAACAGGUGUAAGAAAUGAAUUCAGUGAUUGUUCUCCAGAGCUCAUGCUCUAAGCCCCCCCCCCCUCCAUCUUGCCUAAGAAGCCCCGUAGAGUAGAGAGAUGAUGGAUCUAUGGUAUUGUCCUGAACAAACUUUCAGCUCACUUCUAUUUACAUCUGCUCCACUUGCCAGAAUUCUCUUGCCAACCUUUGCAGCGAGAGAUAGUAGCUAAAUGCUCAGAAUUAAAGAGCAACCCCCAAAACCUGGAAAAGAGUCUAAGUGAACAAAGCCUGCCUGGAAUGGAAGAGCUCUGAGUGAAGAGAGUCAGCACAGAGAAGCAAACAGAGGACCCUGUAAGGACUACUUAUCAAACUGUAAUCAACAACAACCAUUAACAACCAACAACCAACCAACCAACCAACCAACCAACCAACAAUCAACAACUCCACCUCUCAGGGCCCUUUUUUAUAUAUUCCCUGAAAACUUUCCAGAAUUCCAAACACCACACAAUCGCAUAAAACUGUCUUCAAGUGUCAGAAUCAUGCCCCCACCAGAGCUCAAGGAAAAUCAGUCAGCUGCUUCGUACACGCUGAAGCAGCCCCAUGUCCCACACCUGGGAAUAAAAUGAAAGCACGUUCUUUUCUCUGUGUGUGUGUGUGUGUGUGUGUGUGUAUGUGUGUGUAUUUUAAGAAACCAAAAUUCUUACCACAAAA